AUUAAAAUUGUUGCAGUUAAAAAGCUCGUAGUUGGAUUUCUGGUACGGCGCACUUGGCCCGCUUCGGUUACGAGGUAGAGUGCCGGUGUGCGCCUGCCAUACAUCUAGUGUACGUCUCUACUCUUCACUGGGUCAGGGUCGGAAUCUAGAUCAUUUACUUUGAAAAAAUUAGAGUGUUUAAAGCAGGCUUGCGCUAUGAAUACAUUAGCAUGGAAUAAUAACUUAGGACUUUGGUCUUAUUUUGUUGGUUUCUAGGACUAAAGUAAUGAUUGAUAGGGAUAGUUGGGGGUGCUAGUAUUCAGCGGCCAGAGGUGAAAUUCUUGGAUUCGCUGAAGACUAACUUAUGCGAAAGCAUUCACCAAGGAUGUCUUCUUUAAUCAAGAACGAAAGUUGGGGGAUCGAAGACGAUCAGAUACCGUCGUAGUCUCAACCAUAAACUAUGCCGACUAGGGAUGAGUGAACGUUGCUUUUUCGACUUCAUUCGCACCUUAUGAGAAAUUAAAGUCUUUGGGUUCCGGGGGGAGUAUGGUCGCAAGGCUGAAACUUAAAGGAAUUGACGGAAGGGCACACCAGGAGUGGAGCCUGCGGCUUAAUUUGACCCAACACGGGAAAACUUACCAGGUCCAGACAUUAUGAGGAUUGACAGAUUGAAGAUCUUUCUUGAUUUAAUGGGUGGUGGUGCAUGGCCGUUCUUAGUUGGUGGAGUGAUUUGUCUGGUUAAUUCCGUUAACGAACGAGACCUCGACCUGCUAAAUAGUUUGGCAAAUUCUUCGGGAUUUGUUUACGACUUCUUAGAGGGACUAUCGGUGAUUUAGCCGAUGGAAGUUCGAGGCAAUAACAGGUCUGUGAUGCCCUUAGAUGCCCUGGGCCGCACGCGCGCUACACUGAUACGUUCAUCGAGCUUACAACCUUGGCUGAAAGGCCUGGGUAAUCUUUUUAAACCGUAUCGUGCUGGGGAUAGAUUAUUGUAAUUUUUAAUCUUCAACGAGGAAUUCCUAGUAAACGCUGGUCAUCAACCAGCAUUGAUUACGUCCCUGCCCUUUGUACACACCGCCCGUCGCUACUACCGAUUGAAUGGCUUAGUGAGUUUCAGGGAUUGUUGUAUCUCCUUGGUCCGCCUUGGUGGUACAUCCGAGAACUGAAUCAAACUUGAUCAUUUAGAGGAAGUAAAAGUCGUA
rnacentral:rRNA from 1 species